rnacentral:rRNA from 1 species
GGUGGGGUAACCGCAAGGAGCCAGCCGCCGAAGGUGGGAUAGAUGAUUGGGGUGAAGUCGUAACAAGGUAGCCGUAUCGGAAGGUGCGGCUGGAUCACCUCCUUUCUAUGGAGA